UGGGGAAUAUUGGACAAUGGGCGAAAGCCUGAUCCAGCCAUGCCGCGUGUGUGAAGAAGGUCUUCGGAUUGUAAAGCACUUUAAGUUGGGAGGAAGGGCAGUAAGCGAAUACCUUGCUGUUUUGACGUUACCGACAGAAUAAGCACCGGCUAACUCUGUGCCAGCAGCCGCGGUAAUACAGAGGGUGCAAGCGUUAAUCGGAAUUACUGGGCGUAAAGCGCGCGUAGGUGGUUCGUUAAGUUGAAUGUGAAAGCCCCGGGCUCAACCUGGGAGCUGCAUCCAAAACUGGCGAGCUAGAGUAGGGCAGAGGGUGGUGGAAUUUCCUGUGUAGCGGUGAAAUGCGCAGAUAUAGGAAGGAACACCAGUGGCGAAGGCGACCACCUGGGCUCAUACUGACACUGAGGUGCGAAAGCGUGGGGAGCAAACAGG
rnacentral:rRNA from 1 species